rnacentral:lncRNA from 1 species
GCGGGAAGCUCGGGGGUUGCCGGGAAGGCAUGAGCGGAAGCUCGUGGGUGCCGGGAAGGCAUGAGCGGAAAGCUCGUGAGCGGAAGCUCAAGGGUGCCGGGAAGGCAUGAGCGGAAAGCUCGUGAGCGGAAGCUCAAGGGUGCCGGGAAGGCAUGAGCGGAAAGCUCGUGAGCGGAAGCUCAAGGGUUGCCGGGAAGGCAUGAGCGGAAGCUCGGGGUGCCGGGAAGGCAUGAGCGGAAGCUCGGGGUGCCGGGAAGGCAUGAGCGGAAAAGUCAGGGUUGCCGGGAAGGCAUGAGCGGGAAGCUCGGGGGUUGCCGGGAAGGCAUGAGCGGAAGCUCGUGGGUGCCGGGAAGGCAUGAGCGGAAAGCUCGUGAGCGGAAGCUCAAGGGUGCCGGGAAGGCAUGAGCGGAAAGCUCGUGAGCGGAAGCUCAAGGGUGCCGGGAAGGCAUGAGCGGAAAGCUCGUGAGCGGAAGCUCAAGGGUUGCCGGGAAGGCAUGAGCGGAAGCUCGGGGUGCCGGGAAGGCAUGAGCGGAAGCUCGUGAGUGGAAGCUCAAGGGUUGCCGGGAAGGCAUGAGCGGAAGCUCGUGAGCGGAAGCUCAAGGGUUGCCGGGAAGGCAUGAGCGGAAGCUCGGGGUGCCGGGAAGGCAUGAGCGGAAAGCUCGUGAGCGGAAGCUCAAGGGUUGCCGGGAAGGCACGAGCGGAAGCUCGGGGUGCCGGGAAGGCAUGAGCGGAAGCUCGGGGUGCCGGGAAGGCACGAGCGGAAGCUCGGCGGUGCCGCUGAAGCAUGAGCCCGAAAGCCCGGCGGUGCCGCUGAGGCACGAGCGGAAGCUAGGCGGUGCCGCUGAGGCACUAACGGGUAGCUCGAUGGUGAUGCCCUGAGGCAUGAGCGGAAAGCUCGUGAGCGGAAGCUCAAGGGUUGCCGGGAAGGCAUGAGCGGAAGCUCGUGAGCGGAAGCUCAAGGGUUGCCGGGAAGGCAUGAGCGGAAGCUCGUGAGCGGAAGCUCAAGGGUUGCCGGGAAGGCAUGAGCGGAAGCUCGUGAGCGGAAGCUCAAGGGUUGCCGGGAAGGCAUGAGCGGAAGCUCGGGGUGCCGGGAAGGCAUGAGCGGAAAGCUCGUGAGCGGAAGCUCAAGGGUUGCCGGGAAGGCAUGAGCGGAAGCUCGGGGUGCCGGGAAGGCAUGAACGGAAGCUCGGGGUGCCGGGAAGGCACGAGCGGAAGCUCGGCGGUGCCGCUGAAGCAUGAGCCCGAAAGCCCGGCGGUGCCGCUGAGGCACGAGCGGAAGCUCGGCGGUGCCGCUGAGGCACUAACGGGUAGCUCGAUGGUGAUGCCCUGAGGCAUGAGCGUUGCCGUUGCUAAUUAUGCUGGGCUGUAUGUAUAAGUCCCCGAAGUCCCCAGUCAAGGAAGGUGUGCUCGCGGGUUGAUACCAAAGCGUAGCUUCGUGCCGUAUAUCAAGCAUAAUUAGUGCGAGUGCGUCGUCCAUCUAGAAUUGGUUGGAGCGAACGCUUUUGCCCUUUCGGGUGGGCCCCUGCUAGGCCCGCCAGGGAGUCCCCCACUCCUGGCUAUAGACCUCCGUAUGGUCG